AUGAACGCUGGCGGCGUGCCUAAUACAUGCAAGUCGAGCGAACAGACGAGGAGCUUGCUCCUCUGACGUUAGCGGCGGACGGGUGAGUAACACGUGGAUAACCUACCUAUAAGACUGGGAUAACUUCGGGAAACCGGAGCUAAUACCGGAUAAUAUAUUGAACCGCAUGGUUCAAUAGUGAAAGACGGUUUUGCUGUCACUUAUAGAUGGAUCCGCGCCGCAUUAGCUAGUUGGUAAGGUAACGGCUUACCAAGGCAACGAUGCGUAGCCGACCUGAGAGGCUGAUCGACCACACUGGAACUGAGACACGGUCCAGACUCCUACGGGAGGCAGCAGUAGGGAAUCUUCCGCAAUGGGCGAAAGCCUGACGGAGCAACGCCGCGUGAGUGAUGAAGGUCUUCGGAUCGUAAAACUCUGUUAUUAGGGAAGAACAAAUGUGUAAGUAACUAUGCACGUCUUGACGGUACCUAAUCAGAAAGCCACGGCUAACUACGUG
rnacentral:rRNA from 1 species